rnacentral:misc_RNA from 1 species
GACAAUGUCGCUGCUGGCACCAUCGUUGAGCGCAGCUUCUCCCUCGACGGCCUAUCUGGUGGAGUCUCUGUCGAGGACCUCGGCCACCAUGCCGGCUACUACAGCCUCCCCCACACCCACAGCGCCAGAAUGUUCUACCUGUUCUUCGAGUCGAGGAAUAGCAAGAAGGACCCAGUUGUCAUCUGGUUGACGGGAGGACCGGGCUGCAGCAGCGAGCUGGCGGUGUUCUAUGAGAAUGGGCCGUUCACCAUUGCUGAGAACAUGUCGCUUCUGUGGAAUGAUUUCGGAUGGGAUAAGGCAUCGAAUCUGAUAUAUGUUGAUCAACCCACUGGAACUGGUUUUAGCUAUAGUUCGGAUAGCCGUGAUA